rnacentral:lncRNA from 1 species
CUCAAAAAAGGAGUUGACCACCUUUUUCCACGCCUUGCCCACAUGCAAGGAGUUUUAGAAAGGCCUCACAACUAUGUGGAACCUUUUUACAGCUUUUACAACAUGGCUAAAGAGUGUUCAAAUAUGAACAGAAAGCCUUGGGUUGCAUAAAAGAUGUAUUCUUUCUUCACAGCUACCAUUAUUACUUAUUAAAUCUCGGAAAGUUUGAGGAGUAAAUCUUCCAGAAUAUUUUGACCUUAUAUUAUUUGAGCCCAGAUAACAUUGCUUAAUUAUGUCCGGAACUUGCAUCUAAAACUUGAUCAAAGCAUAAUAAGCUCAAUCCAUGAUCCUCUUCGUCAAUGCAAGCCAUGUAAUUCUUUUUCUUUUAUAUUUCAGUUAUUCCAAUUUUUACAUAUUAUAGCUCUGACGGAAAGUUUUGUGAAAAACUGACAAAUACAUCAAAAAAAACCAAAAAAGGCACUUCUCAACAUGCAAAGGAAAAUAAAAUUAAGAAUAUAAUGUAGGAAAUGCCCCAACCAAACCUGUGAAUUGUGGCCCUUUAGUUCUUCUAGUAGCUGAUCUGUCUGCUUAUCCCACACAAGCACAGGCUGAUCAUUUGAUCCGGAUACCACCUUUCCUCUAUCAAAGCUUAUUGCCCGAACAGCUCUACCGAGAAAGAGACGGUAUGAAGCAACACAGAGCCGGCCCUGACAAAUCGGAGGCCCUAAGCGAGUUGGCCCGUUGAGGCCCCCGUACAUUGUUUUUCUACACGUAUAACAAUAGUUAAAUGAAAAAAUAUACGUACAUAUACAUGUAUAUACAUGUGUGUGUGUGUGUGUGUGAAAUCUUUAUACAAUCUCAAAGAUAAAAUUGCUAGAUAAAAUAUCACUUACAGAAAUUAGUCUUCUCACUUUUUAGAGAUUAGGCUAGUAUCAUAUUUCUUCUUAUGUUUUGAGAUGUAAAAUUAGUAGUCAAACAUCUUAAAUGAAGGUUUUCCAACAUUUUUUUUCAAUAGAAAUCAUAACUAAUCCAUUAAACCAUAAUUAUAGCAAAUAACGGUAGAACCUGAUUCAGAGUUUGAAUUAAAAAUACCCCAGGUUCUCAAAUAUGCCAAGUGAAGGUGACACAACCCGUCCCGAAUCACCCUAGUGGACCCGAAACGUGACGUGCUCGAUGAUAGAUGCUGACUAGAUGUCAAAUCUAUCACCAAGCCUGACCACGAG